AGAGUUUGAUCAUGGCUCAGAUUGAACGCUGGCGGCAUGCCUUACACAUGCAAGUCGAACGGCAUCACGGGAGCAAUCCUGGUGGCGAGUGGCGAACGGGUGAGUAAUGCCUAGGAAUCUGCCUGGUAGUGGGGGAUAACGUCCGGAAACGGACGCUAAUACCGCAUACGUCCUACGGGAGAAAGCAGGGGACCUUCGGGCCUUGCGCUAUCAGAUGAGCCUAGGUCGGAUUAGCUAGUUGGUGGGGUAAUGGCUCACCAAGGCGACGAUCCGUAACUGGCCUGAGAGGAUGAUCAGUCACACUGGAACUGAGACACGGUCCAGACUCCUACGGGAGGCAGCAGUGGGGAAUAUUGGACAAUGGGCGAAAGCCUGAUCCAGCCAUGCCGCGUGUGUGAAGAAGGUCUUCGGAUUGUAAAGCACUUUAAGUUGGGAGGAAGGGCAGUUACCUAAUACGUGAUUGUUUUGACGUUACCGACAGAAUAAGCACCGGCUAACUCUGUGCCAGCAGCCGCGGUAAUACAGAGGGUGCAAGCGUUAAUCGGAAUUACUGGGCGUAAAGCGCGCGUAGGUGGUUUGUUAAGUUGGAUGUGAAAUCCCCGGGCUCAACCUGGGAACUGCAUUCAAAACUGACUGACUAGAGUAUGGUAGAGGGUGGUGGAAUUUCCUGUGUAGCGGUGAAAUGCGUAGAUAUAGGAAGGAACACCAGUGGCGAAGGCGACCACCUGGACUCAAACUGACGCUGAGGUACGAAAGCGUGGGUAGCAAACAGGAUUAGAUACCCUGGUAGUCC
rnacentral:rRNA from 1 species